rnacentral:lncRNA from 1 species
CUUCUUUCCUUCUAUUUUUUUUUCUACAUCAUUUUUUUCUUAUUUUUUCUUUUUCUUACCUUAUAUGAAUAAUUUUCAGAGUCCCAACCCCAUCCCUAUCCUAUUUUUUCACAGGAAUAUGAUGGGAUGGCCAAGAUGCCUAAAUGCUAGAGCUUAAAAUCUUAUUUAUAUUAUACUUUUGUUUAAUCAAAUUAUCAUUAAUACAUAUAUUUAGUUUAUUAAAUUAUGUAGAAAUAUUAUA